AAUAUUGGACAAUGGGGGCAACCCUGAUCCAGCCAUGCCGCGUGUGUGAAGAAGGUCUUCGGAUUGUAAAGUACUUUAAGUUGGGAGGAAGGGCUUUAGGCUAAUACCCUGAAGUUUUGACGUUACCAACAGAAUAAGCACCGGCUAACUCUGUGCGAGCAGCCGCGGUAAUACAGAGGGUGCAAGCGUUAAUCGGAAUUACGUGGCGUAAAGCGCGCGUAGGUGGUUCAGUAAGAAGGGUGUGAAAUCCCCGGGCUUAACCUGGGAACUGCUUUCGUAACUGGUGAGGUAGAGUACGGUAGAGGGUAGUGGAAUUUCCUGUGUAGCGGUGAAAUGCGUAGAUAUAGGAAGGAACCCCAGUGGCGAAGGCGACUACCUGGACUGAUACUGACACUGAGGUGCGAAAGCGUGGGGAGCAAACAG
rnacentral:rRNA from 1 species